AAAAAAUCGUAUUACUAGAUUACAUUGGUAUCGAAGGAACUAGAUUCUGUUCCGAAAUAUCACUUACUCGAACCGUCCUGACCGCGUAGCUCAGUUGGCAGAGCAUUGGGCUAGUAUUCCAAAGGUCGUAGGUUCGAUUCCCACCGUGGCCGGGCAUAUUUUUCAAGCUUGCCCGGUGUGGAUAUACACUCAGAGUAACAUCACAAACAUCAUAGUAUUUACAGGUUACUGAAUGAAUACUUUCUAGAAAGUUGUGCUUUAUAAUUACUUGAUUUGUUGAAAUUCUUUUCUAGGUGACAUUUGAAAAUAAUGGCAUACCACAGUAGAUAAGAAUUUACCUAAUUGCUACUGUUUUCCAAGGAUAUAAUGUUCAACACAUGCACAUGUUGUAAAAAAAGUCACUUUAGUCUUGGUUGUAACGUUUUGCAAAUAAGAUCCAAACAAAUUGUUAAAAAUAGUCAGUUGUACAGUAAUCAGUAUGGAAAGUUUUACUACUUGUUGAUUGUCCAUUUUGUAGUUAAAAGGAUAUGACAAUAAAAAUUAACUUUGUCUUAUUUGAAAGAACUUUUAAAAGUUAUAUAUGAAGACCCUUUACAACUUUUUCGUACCUUGCUUGGUUUUCGAAAUAUUUUGAGCAAAAACAGUGUGCAGUCCGCCAUCUUGGUAUUAUAAUUGAUCUAAUUAGCUUUUCUCACGCCGCCAUUUUUGGGUGGCAUUUCAGCCGAAGUUUGCGAGAUAAGUCCACAUAACAGUGACUUUUUAUAAUUUUUUGGACAGAUGAUGGUAAAUUUGCUUUGUAAAUGGUUAGUAGUCAGGGAUACCGGAAGUUGCUGGGAGCAACGGGUGCAAUUGGUUAACAAGAGGGCAUAUUCCUUAACAAAAGGGCACUAAUGAAAAUGAAAGGGCAUCUAAAAAUUAUUUUUGGCGACCCCCCCCGUCGCCAAAAAUUUUUUGGUCCAUUUUAGGGGUAAAAAAAAUUUUCCGGACAUACCACAAUUUUUCCUAAAUACGAAAAAAAUUUUCCGGACAUACCGAAAAUUUUUCCGGAAAAUGUUAUUUUUUCCGGAAACCAAAACAUUUUUCCCGAAAUAACAUAGAUUGAAUUUUUCAAAAAUGCCCUUUGCGCAAAAAAUGCAAUUUUUAAUGAAAAUUUUUCACGCAAAAACAGCACUUUGUGCACCCGUAGUGCACCCGUAUUCUGCACCCGUAAAGUUGUGAAGACAAAAGGCAACGGGUGCAACUGCACCCGCUGCACCCGUGGUUCUGGCAUCCCUGUUAGUAGUUUAUUUUGAAAUAUUGCUUUUGACAUUGUUUCAAUUGUCUGCAUUGGUUAACGAGAAUUGGAUGCCACCCAGAAAUGGCGGAUAUUCGUCAUCGUGAGCACAGAAGUUUUUGAUGACGUCACAAGCAGGGUAAACUUGUUUAAAACGUGUUCAUGUGGGACUAAAUUUCUUCGAAAAGUUUCUUAAAAUGUUAUGAGUUAAUUGAGUACUAAAAGGACUUUGGAAAAGCGAGUUUCAUAUUGAUAAUGAAAUGUGGUUUGCAAGAUAAAAAUUUCGCUUUUUACCCUACUUGUGACGUAUGCAGAUCCAAAAUGGCGGAAUGCACACUGCUUUUCAUCAAAAUAAGUCGAUUUAUUUUUAAAACCAAGCAAGAUACGGAAUAAUUGUGAAAGAAGUUUAUAUAUCAUGUUAAAUGUUCUUUCAAAUAAGACGAACUUAAUUUAUAUUGGCAAUUUGGCAUAUCCCUUUAAAUAGUAGUUCCCGAUUGGCUACCUUUUGCACCAACUGUAAUUAACCUUUUUAUGCAACCGGCCUCGAGUCAAGGGUCAGUUAUUCAUACAAGUCCAGUAAGUUAGACAUACAGUAGGUUGAAUUGUUUCAUUGUUAUUUAUGCUGAUAAUUUAUACAUUGAAUAAAUAUUUAUUACUUGCGUUAGCACUUGGUGCAAUUUGAUUGCUUGCAUUGAUCAUUAACAUUUUAUUAAUUUUGAUUGUUAUACUAUAAAGUUUUGUGUCAUUUUUACAAAAGUGUGUGAUGAUUACAUUGUGGGGCCUCAAAAAUUACAGACAUUUCCUACUGUGCAUUUUCUGAAAUUUCAAAAAAUUAUUUCACAAAGUGUUAUUCCCAAAUCCCAAUUGACCUUAGAAGUCCUUACGUCACGUCACUGUCGGACAAUGGAUAUUUGACUCACAUUGCAUUGUGUAUACUUAAUGUUUUGAUUAAUUGAAAAUUGUGACAUAGGCACUUCUAAGGGUUAUUAAUUUACAGUAAAUGUUCAAUUUGACAGUCUGGUGAAAUUCUUAAUUCCAUUUGGUAA
rnacentral:tRNA from 1 species